rnacentral:rRNA from 1 species
CUACACGACCGUACCGCAAACCGACACUGGUGCGCGAGACGAGUAUUCUAAGGCGCUUGAGAGAACUCGGGAGAAGGAACUCGGCAAAUUGACACCGUAACUUCGGAAGAAGGUGUGCCUUUAGCAGGUGAACCAUUUACUUGGGGAGCCCAAUGAGGUUGCAAAAAAUCGGUGGCUGCGACUGUUUAUUAAAAACACAGCACUCUGCAAACACGAAAGUGGACGUAUAGGGUGUGACGCCUGCCCGGUGCUGGAAGAUUAAAUGAUGGGGUGCAAGCUCUUGAUUGAAGUCCCAGUAAACGGCGGCCGUAACUAUAACGGUCCUAAGGUAGCGAAAUUCCUUGUCGGGUAAGUUCCGACCUGCACGAAUGGCGUAACGAUGGCCACACUGUCUCCUCCCGAGACUCAGCGAAGUUGAAAUGUUUGUGAUGAUGCAAUCUCCCCGCGGAAAGACGGAAAGACCCCAUGAACCUUUACUGUAGCUUUGUAUUGGACUUUGAACAGAUCUGUGUAGGAUAGGUGGGAGGCUUUGAAGUAGGGUCGCUAGAUCUUAUGGAGCCAACGUUGAAAUACCACCCUGGUGUGUUUGAGGUUCUAACCUAGGUCCAUUAUCUGGAUCGGGGACAGUGCAUGGUAGGCAGUUUGACUGGGGCGGUCUCCUCCCAAAGCGUAACGGAGGAGUUCGAAGGUACGCUAGUUACGGUCGGACAUCGUGACGAUAGUGCAAUGGCAUAAGCGUGCUUAACUGCGAGACUGACAAGUCGAGCAGAUGCGAAAGCAGGACAUAGUGAUCCGGUGGUUCUGUAUGGAAGGGCCAUCGCUCAACGGAUAAAAGGUACUCUGGGGAUAACAGGCUGAUACCGCCCAAGAGUUCAUAUCGACGGCGGUGUUUGGCACCUCGAUGUCGGCUCAUCUCAUCCUGGGGCUGUAGCCGGUCCCAAGGGUAUGGCUGUUCGCCAUUUAAAGAGGUACGUGAGCUGGGUUUAAAACGUCGUGAGACAGUUUGGUCCCUAUCUUCCGUGGGCGCUGCAGAUUUGAGGAAGCCUGCUCCUAGUACGAGAGGACCGGAGUGGACACACCUCUGGUGUAUCGGUUGUCACGCCAGUGGCAUUGCCGAGUAGCUAAGUGUGGAAGAGAUAACCGCUGAAAGCAUCUAAGCGGGAAACUCGUUUCAAGAUGAGAUCUGCCGGGGCCUUGAGCCCCCUAAAGAGUCGUUCAAGACCAGGACGUUGAUAGGUCAGGUGUGGAAGCGCAGUAAUGCGUUAAGCUAACUGAUA